rnacentral:tRNA from 2 species
GUCCUCGUAGCUCAGUUGGAUAGAGCAACUGCCUCCUAAGCAGUAGGUCGUGCGUUCAAAUCGCAUCGAGGACGCCA